rnacentral:rRNA from 1 species
UACGGGGGGGGGCAAGCGUUGUUCGGAAUUACUGGGCGUAAAGGGCUCGUAGGCGGCCAACUAAGUCGGAUGUGAAAUCCCCAGGCUUAACCUGGGAACUGCAUCCGAUACUGGAUGGCUUGAAUUCGGGAGAGGGAUGCAGAAUUCCAGGUGUAGCGGUGAAAUGCGUAGAUAUCUGGAGGAAUACCGGUGGCGAAGGCGGCAUCCUGGACCGACAUUGACGCUGAGUGAGCGAAAGCUAGGGGAGCAAACGGGG